GCGCACCAGGCGAGAAUCUUCCCCAAUGGACGAAAGUCUGAGGGAGCGACGCCGCGUGAAUGAAGAAGCCCUUCGGGGUGUAAAAUUCUUUUCUUUAGGAAAAAUUCGUGAUGGUACUAAAGGAAUAAGGGGCCGCCAAACUCGUGCCAGCAGCGGCGGUAAUACGAGUGCCCCGAGCGUUACCCGGAAUUACUGGGCGUAAAGCGCUAAAAGGCGGUUUGAUAAGUCAGACGUCAAAUCUCCGAGCUCAACUCGGAGCCGGUGUCUGAAACUGUCUAACUUGAGGACGGAAGAGGCAAGCGGAAUGGCUGGUGUAGCAGUAAAAUGCGUUAAUAUCAGCUAGAACACCAACUAGG
rnacentral:rRNA from 1 species